rnacentral:rRNA from 1 species
GAUGCAGUGUAUGGUAUGUCGAUUAUCUAGUAUGAGAAAUUAACGAUUUAAGUCCUUCUUAAAUGAGGCCAUUUACCCAUAGAGGGUGCCAGGCCCGUAUAACGUUAAUGAUUAUUAGACGGCAUUUCCAAAGAGUCGUGUUGCUUGAUAGUGCAGCACUAAGUGGGUGGUAAACUCCAUCUAAAACUAAAUAUAACCAUGAGACCGAUAGUAAACAAGUACCGUGAGGGAAAGUUGAAAAGAACUCUGAAUAGAGAGUUAAAUAGUACGUGAAACUGCUUAGAGGUUAAACCCGAUGAACCUGAAUAUCCCAUAUAGAAAAUUCAUCAUUAUGAUUGUUGUAUAUUAUUCGUAAGAAUUAUACAUAUAAUAAUGGUGUGCAUUUUUUCUAUAUAAGGACAUUGUAAUCUAUUAACAUAAUAAAAUAUUUAUCAAAAGAUCAUGUGCAACGGUUUAAUCAAAUUAUUUUGCUUUCGGGCAAUUUAACAUAGGUUAAUCGCACGUGAUUUGAUAAAGUGUUGAUAGAUUUAUAUGAAAUAUAGUGCUUGAAUAAUAUAUAAUUCUAUAAUAUCAUAAUAAUUAAUAAUUUUUAUGUUUAUUAUAUGCACAUGUAUGAUUAACAAUGCGAAAGAUUCAGGAUACCUUCGGGACCCGUCUUGAAACACGGACCAAGGAGUCUAACAUAUUUGCAAGUUAUUGGGAAUUUUUUGUAAUACAAAGCCUAAUAGCGAAAUUAACAUAACACAAUUAUAUGGGAUUAGUUUUUAGUACUAUAAAUUAGUCUAUUAAUUCAAUCCCGGGGCGUUCUAUAUGGUUAUGUAUAAUAAUAUUUAUAUUAUUUAUAUCUCUAACCGGAGCGUACCUUGAGCAUAUAUGCUGUGACCCGAAAGAUGGUGAACUAUACUUGAUCAGGUUGAAGUCAGGGGAAACCCUGAUGGAAGACCGAAACAGUUCUGACGUGCAAAUCGAUUGUCAGAAUUGAGUAUAGGGGCGAAAGACCAAUCGAACCAUCUAGUAGCUGGUUCCCUCCGAAGUUUCCCUCAGGAUAGCUGGUGCAUUGAAAACUUAUGUAAAAUAAUCUUAUCUGGUAAAGCGAAUGAUUAGAGGCCUUAGGGUCGAAACGAUCUUAACCUAUUCUCAAACUUUAAAUGGGUAAGAACCUCACCUUUCUUGGUAUGAAGGUAGUGGUUGUGAUAUAAUGUGCCCAGUGGGCCACUUUUGGUAAGCAGAACUGGCGCUGUGGGAUGAACCAAACGUAAUGUUACGGUGCCCAAAUUAACAACUCAUGCAGAUACCAUGAAA